rnacentral:misc_RNA from 1 species
CGUUAUACUACUAAGGCUCAGCCUUGCGGUGGCCGCCUCCCUGUUUGCGAUUUAUUUUGCGAUGGCAGGGACGGCCGAAACCUAUGGGCGUUUCCGUUUUGAGUGUCCAGCGUAGCAAGUCUCUCGCUGUUAUUCUGACGACGACGCCAGUCUAACGAACGUUUGGCCUCGAAUCAGGUAGGGAUACCCGCUGAACUUAA